UUAAACUGGUUCCCUGGGCAUAACUUCAUAUGGUUAACUUUAGCCAAUGAGUUUAAAACAUUGUUUGACAAUAAACUAAAUACAAUCCGAAGUAAGGGUUCCAUGAAAACAUGAUGCUCGCAGUACUAUACCAAAAUAUGGAUUUUAUAGCACAUCUUUAAUAGCGAUUGUUAAACAAAAAUACUGUUGCAUUAUGUUUUAAAAAUACACGGAGUCUUAGACAAUGUUUUUUUGAAAAGCGAUGUCAUAUGUACUAAUAACAAAGCCUUUAACAACGUUUUUUAUAAAAGCGCUGACAUAUGAUCAUAAUAUUUAAAGUGUUUUUGUUAUAAGUGUUGUCAUAGUGUAUUUUAACGUGUUUAUAAAAAAAGCAAUGUCAUAGGAUCUCAUAAAGUUUCUACUUUUUAAAGUCUCACUUUUAAUUUUAUGCAUGUAAUUGGUUUCAUUCACCAAACCUUAGUUUCGUGCAUUUCUUCACCAAACCCUCUAUGCGAACUAAUUUCUUCACUUUAUUUGUGAACUCUCCCAAGCCCUCUCUGCGAAGUAGUUUCUUCACCUAAUAACUGGUUUUCUUUACCAAACCUUAAUUUCGUCGUCGCAUCUCUGUUGGGGAGUCCAUGGGAGUGCGACAUCCGAAAUGAGCUAAACAUCAAGGAUUCUUAAGAGACUUAGACACCACAUCUCAACCCAAAACCUUAAGGCAUUAGGUUCAUGGGUCAUUCUCCUUAUAUAUCCAAUAUAGCCUUCAUUCCUAGUAAAUGUGGGACUAACCACUCAUAAUUGAAUUCCAACAAAUAUCCCCCUCAAUUAUGAGUUCCCACCACUAGACUUGAUCCAAGUCCUUUUUGCUCUUGAUCCACUUGAUCCAAGUGCUUUUUGCUCCCCCACCAAGGCCAAACUAGGCUCUGAUACCACUUGUUGAGGAGUCCAUGGGAGCGCGAUAUCCGGAAUGAGAUAAACAUCAAUGAUUCUUAAGAGACUUAGACACCACAUCUCAACCCAAAACAUUAAGGCAUUAGGUUCAUGGGUCAUUCUCCUUAUAUAUCCAAUAUAGCCUCCAUUCCAGGCAAUGUGGGACUAACCACUCAUAAUUGAAUUCCAACAAAUUCUUGUUUGCGUUUUCAAGCUAAAAAUGAAAACUGAGCAAGAGGAAAAUCAAUGAAAUGAAUAUUGUGUGUUAUUGUUUAUUGAUAUGAGUAUGCUAUUUAUACAUAGCCUUUAUUACAUUGUUUCUGACUAACUUCUUAGUAACUAACUAGUUAGUUAGUUGGUUAUAUACAAUCAACUAACUUGAAUUACACCAAAACUGAAUACGAAGAUCAAUCUUCGUUUUCCAGUCACAAACCAAGAUCAAUCUUGGUUUCCAAAAAUCUCAUGAGUCCCCAAACCUUUCUCCAACAUAAUGCACUAUCCCAAAUUUUAUAAUAAAUAUUUUCUUAAUGAAAUAGAAUUUUAAAUAAUUAAUUUGAUGUUAAAAUUAUUUUAUAAUAUAUGUUGAUAAAUUUUGGGAUAAUUUUUGUUAUAUGGGUGCUUUCUAUGAUUUGCUAGUUUUAUAAAUAUUAUAUUAAAUGAGCGAUAUAAAUAAUAAAUAUUUUAUUUUAUUAUUUGAUAUAAUUUUUAAAAAAUAAUAGUAUUUUAGUGUAAUAUUUUAAAGAAAAAGAUUUUAUGCAAUUUUAUGUCUAUAUAUGUGUAUCCAAUUAAUGUAAUAUUUUUCUAUGCGC
rnacentral:lncRNA from 1 species